rnacentral:rRNA from 1 species
CGUGCCAGCAGCCGCGGUAAUACAUAGGUCACAAGCGUUAUCCGGAAUUAUUGGGCGUAAAGCGUUCGUAGGCGGUUUGUUAAGUCUGGAGUUAAAGACUGGGGCUCAACCCCAGCCCGCUCUGGAUACUGGCUGACUAGAGUUACAUAGAGGUAAGUGGAAUUCUUAGUGGAGCGGUGGAAUGCGUAGAUAUUAGGAAGAACACCAAUGGCGAAGGCAGCUUACUGGAUGUACACUGACGCUCAGGGACGAAAGCGUGGGGAGCAAACAGGAUUAGAUACCCUGGUAGUCCACGCCGUAAACGAUGAUCAUUAGCCGCUAGAAUAUUUAGUGGCGCAGCUAACGCAUUAAAUGAUCCGCCUGAGUAGUAUGCUCGCAAGAGUGAAACUUAAAGGAAUUGACGGGGACCCGCACAAGCGGUGGAGCAUGUGGUUUAAUUUGAAGAUACGCGUAGAACCUUACCCACUCUUGACAUCUUCCGCAAUACUAUGGAGACAUAGUGGAGGUUAACGGAAUGACAGAUGGUGCAUGGUUGUCGUCAGCUCGUGCCGUGAGGUGUUAGGUUAAGUCCUGCAACGAGCGCAACCCCUGUCUUUAGUUACUAACGGAUAAUGCCGAGGACUCUAGAGAGACUGACUGGGUAACCAGUAGGAAGGUGGGGACGACGUCAAAUCAUCAUGCCUCUUACGAGUGGGGCAACACACGUGCUACAAUGGACGGUACAAAGAGAAGCAAUAUGGUGACAUGGAGCAAACCUCAAAAAACCGUUCUCAGUUCGGAUUGAAGUCUGAAA